AGAAUCAACGCUGGCGGCGUGCCUAACACAUGCAAGUCGCACGAGAAAGGGGAGCAAUCCCUGAGUAAAGUGGCGCACGGGUGAGUAACACGUGAAUGAUCUACCUCCGAGUGGGGAAUAACCAAAGAAAUUUUGGCUAAUACCGCAUAACACUUACGAGUCAAAGCAGCAAUGCGCUUGGAGAGGAGUUCGCGGCAGAUUAGCUAGUUGGCGGGUAAUGGCCCACAAGGCGAUGAUCUGUAU
rnacentral:rRNA from 1 species